AACGCACAUUGCGCUCUCUGGUAUUCCGGAGAGCAUGCUUGUUUGAGUAUCAGUAAACUCCCUCAAUCCAAUGUUUGUUGGAUUGGACUUGAGCCUAUCCCAGACCCGAGGCUUUUUUUUGGCCUUAGUCUUUUUGGGUAGCUUAAAAUGAAAGGUGCCAAGCUUACCAGUUACUUUAAACAUGGUCGAUCUGGCUAAUGCGUAUUGAUUAGUCCCUGUGGACUAUUACUUCGCUUACGCCAUAGAGAUUAUGGAUUGGUUUGGCUUUGCCUAUUGCAGGAUUUACUCAGAGUAUUAGACCCCAGUCUUCUCCCUCUGUGAUCUCGAUCUCAAAUCAAGUAGGACUACCCGCUGAACUUAA
rnacentral:misc_RNA from 1 species